CUACGGGAGGCAGCAGUGGGGAAUAUUGCACAAUGGGCGCAAGCCUGAUGCAGCCAUGCCGCGUGUAUGAAGAAGGCCUUCGGGUUGUAAAGUACUUUCAGCGAGGAGGAAGGCAUUAAGGUUAAUAAUCUUGGUGAUUGACGUUACUCGCAGAAGAAGCACCGGCUAACUCCGUGCCAGCAGCCGCGGUAAUACGGAGGGUGCAAGCGUUAAUCGGAAUUACUGGGCGUAAAGCGCACGCAGGCGGUCUGUCAAGUCGGAUGUGAAAUCCCCGGGCUCAACCUGGGAACUGCAUUCGAAACUGACAGGCUAGAGUCUUGUAGAGGGGGGUAGAAUUCCAGGUGUAGCGGUGAAAUGCGUAGAGAUCUGGAGGAAUACCGGUGGCGAAGGCGGCCCCCUGGACAAAGACCGACGCUCAGGUGCGAAAGCGUGGGUAGCAAACAGGAUUAGAUACCCUGGUAGUCCACGCCGUAAACGAUGUCUAUUUGGAGGUUGUGUCCUUGAGACGUGGCUUCCGGAGCUAACGCGUUAAAUAGACCGCCUGGGGAGUACGGCCGCAAGGUUAAAACUCAAAUGAAUUGAAUUGACGG
rnacentral:rRNA from 1 species